rnacentral:rRNA from 1 species
AUGUGUCUCAGACCUAAGUUUUUGCCGCUGGACCGUGGUUACGUUCAUCCUAGCUUGGAGGCAACGGUGUGGGUGGGUAUGCAUGUGCAAGGCGAAGAAGUGGACGAAGGCCGAAGAAGCAAUCUCUGCCUCCCUAUCGCUGCGUCCUGCUCCUCAAUAUGUCACCUUAGUCAUGGCCGCCUUAUCCCUCAUGCUGCUGAUUUGAACCUACCCUACUCUUCUUCUCCUAGACUGCUCGAGCGCUUCAGCGGUGCCUCGCUGACGACAGGGAAGGAAGGAUCAGAAGUGACGGCUAUAGCCCUAGGAAUUUGGAAACCAUAG